rnacentral:rRNA from 1 species
UGCUGCUUUGCUGACGAGUGGCGGACGGGUGAGUAAUGUCUGGGAAACUGCCUGAUGGAGGGGGAUAACUACUGGAAACGGUAGCUAAUACCGCAUAACGUCGCAAGACCAAAGAGGGGGACCUUCGGGCCUCUUGCCAUCGGAUGUGCCCAGAUGGGAUUAGCUAGUAGGUGGGGUAAAGGCUCACCUAGGCGACGAUCCCUAGCUGGUCUGAGAGGAUGACCAGCCACACUGGAACUGAGACACGGUCCAGACUCCUACGGGAGGCAGCAGUGGGGAAUAUUGCACAAUGGGCGCAAGCCUGAUGCAGCCAUGCCGCGUGUAUGAAGAAGGCCUUCGGGUUGUAAAGUACUUUCAGCGGGGAGGAAGGGAGUAAAGUUAAUACCUUUGCUCAUUGACGUUACCCGCAGAAGAAGCACCGGCUAACUCCGUGCCAGCAGCCGCGGUAAUACGGAGGGUGCAAGCGUUAAUCGGAAUUACUGGGCGUAAAGCGCACGCAGGCGGUUUGUUAAGUCAGAUGUGAAAUCCCCGGGCUCAACCUGGGAACUGCAUCUGAUACUGGCAAGCUUGAGUCUCGUAGAGGGGGGUAGAAUUCCAGGUGUAGCGGUGAAAUGCGUAGAGAUCUGGAGGAAUACCGGUGGCGAAGGCG